rnacentral:rRNA from 1 species
UACAGAGGUCUCAAGCGUUGUUCGGAUUCAUUGGGCGUAAAGGGUGCGUAGGCGGCGCGGUAAGUCGGGUGUGAAAUCUCGGAGCUUAACUCCGAAACUGCAUUCGAUACUGCCGUGCUUGAGGACUGGAGAGGAGACUGGAAUUUACGGUGUAGCGGUGAAAUGCGUAGAUAUGACAUAGAACACCCAUUGCGAAGGCAGCUAACUACGCGAUAAUUGACGCUGAUGCACGAAAGCGUGGGGAUCAAACAGG